AAAAAUAGAAGGCUUUCUAAUGUGCAGCAUCCCAAUUACAUUUUCGAUUUUCAUAUUUUGAAAACAAGUUCAAAAAUAAAUAGAGGAAUUGCAUCCUAACGCUAUUUUUCAAGCUUUCCAAGAUGGAAGAUGAAGCCAAGCUCCCAUGGAUGAUCUGUUUCUCACAUGGUAAUCUGUUCCACAAGAGUGGGUAAAUGGGAAACUAGUGAACAAUCUGAGAAUGCCAAAAAAUGAUUUCACAAUAGCUCACUGCCACCAAAGUGUGCAAUGUGAAUGCAACAGCACCCAUAAUAUGCUCGUCCUCAAAAUUUCAUAUAUGUUUACAGGUAUAUAAUUGGUAAAUGGCAACAACAAUCUUUGCUCUGCCUUCGGAUAUAAAUCAACUAAAGAAAUCACCUAUUUUUUAUUUCAAUAUGGGUGAACUCUAAUAUAUCGUUCAACUUCUACCGAAAACAAUCAUGUUGUCAGGAUUUGAAGAACAUGAGAAAGCAUAGCAGCAAAAUCUGCUAUCUUCUGCGCUUAGAUUCUUUGCGCACUUCUGCGAGGUACCUCUCUAAGUUGGACUUCUCCCACAAUCGUCUCUGAACAAGAUCAUCCUUCAUUGAUUCAUCAACACUUCUCCAUGCAUCAAGAGGCACUCUCAGGGACCUUUGCGUUAGGUAGGAUGCAUCCUCCCAAGAAUAUGGAGCCUUUUUCACUUUGUAUCUCCAGAACCAGCAGCCAUGCCACAAUAGCAGCUUGCCUAUAGUGUAAGGUAAGAGGAUAAAUCGAACACCAAUAAGUUCCCAGAUGACAGGUUUUUGAGCUCCUUUUAUGUCCAGUUCAAGUUCUUUGCUGAGAUCUUCCUCCACUUUCCUGCCAUAGAAAUAUUGCCUGUUACUAUUAAGCAUAACCUCAGAACAAUAGAUGUGACAGUCCAACAGUAAGAAUUAACAACCCCCCUUCCCAAAAUUCCACUCAAAACUAGUAAAAAUGCACCCAGCAGGAAGGGGAUGACAAGAUAAACAACUGCAUAAAUCAGACCUAUCAAGGACACAGCAUAUUCACAUCCAUGAGGUAAAUUUGUCUUAUCAUGGAAGAUCAAAAUAAGUUCACAGUUCAUACUUGUCCAUCUGCUUGCUACCCUUCUUCUUAGUUGUAGUUCCUCCACUGUGUUCGAGUUCCAGUGCCCAUAACCUAUUUUUGUUAGCAGGUGUCUUCUUGACCAUUGCUACAGCCUGCAAUAACAUGAAGGAAUAUGAAGUAACUCGGACAACUUAUAGGACCUAUAGAUGUAGGGAAUGCAAAAUAAAAAAUAAUCUCCAUAUGUAAAGUUAUACUGCAUAAUCCUCUUUAUGCCAUAACUUCCUUAUCAUGUGACAUUUGCUACCACCAGAAUUAUACUUUCAGAAUGUACAAAAGAUACUGCUUAUUAUAGAACUCAGAUGCACAGGCAAUGCUAUUAGCCAUGACAAAUGAUAUGGUAGUAUUCAAAAUUACAGUUCUUGUGCUAGGAUACUCACAUCCAAGUGUAGGCAUCAAUAUUUAUCACAUAAAAUUUCAAAGGUACCCAUGUAUAGAUUUUACUCCACAUAAGACUAUACCUGAUUAUACCUUGUUGACUGAUUCAGAUACUGAAAUCCUGAGAGAAUCAGAAGAAGACCAACCAGGACAUAUUGAGGAUCCGUUUUAUGACCAUAAUAUGCGUGAUAGUAACGAGCUGUAUUGUAAAAUACCUAAAAGGAAAAGAACAUUGAAAUAGUUUUAGCAUCACUUAAUAAUCUUAAGUCCAAGAAUUCUCCAUUGCUAGUUACUCGGGAUGCUGACAGCCAAUGACAAAAGAAUGUACAAGAAAUUUUCUAAUUAGUAAUUUGCUUCAAGGCUCCACCUCAAUGAAUGAGCGUACACACACACAAAGAGAUAAACAAUCCUGAGUAUGAGAUGGCAUACAACGCCUUCAGAUGUCAUCACCCUCUUAAGUCAUAACAGAAAUUUCUUCCAAAAUCCUUCUCGCUCAUCACAUACUCAGUAUUCUAGUAUGGAAUCAAAGAGAAGGUCAUAUAUAUACUGCAAAUUUCAAAUGCAGUAUGUUAAAGAUUUAGAUCAACAUCUGUAGCCAUCAUUGUUUUAUAACAAAUAUGCAGCACAUUGAAAAGAAAAUUAUUUUCCACAACAUACAAUGUAAUAUUGUAACUAAAAAUCUUUUAUGAUAACCUAAAACUCGCAGAAAAAACAAUCAGUCCUUGGACUUAGCAGAACUUCCUUAACUCCAAAGUAAUAGAUAGAUUAAGUGGUCUUAAGAUAGUAUUCAAAAAUAUGAAAAUAGACGUUACAAAGCCAUAAGUUCCACUAAAAUUCUGUUAUGAAUAAACAGGGGGAAAAAAUAACAACGAAAGUGAGAAUGGAAACGAGAUGCACCUCCUCUGGAUGUGC
rnacentral:misc_RNA from 1 species